rnacentral:rRNA from 1 species
AUUGAACGCUGGCGGCAUGCCUUACGCAUGCAAGUCGAACGGCAGCGCGGGGCAACCUGGCGGCGAGUGGCGAACGGGUGAGUAAUAUAUCGGAACAUACCCUAGAGUGGGGAUAACGUAGCGAAAGUUACGCUAAUACCGCAUACGCACUAAGGUGGAAAGUGGGGGAUUCGCAAGAACCUCAUGCUCAUGGAGUGGCCGAUAUCUGAUUAGCUAGUUGGUGAGGUAAAGGCUCACCAAGGCAACGAUCAGUAGCUGGUUUGAGAGAACGACCAGCCACACUGGAACUGAGACACGGUCCAGACUCCUACGGGAGGCAGCAGUGGGGAAUUUUUGGGACAAAUGGGGGGCGAACCCUGAUCCAGCAAUGCCGUGUGAGUGAAGAAGGCCUUCGGUUGUAAGACUCUUUUGUUCUAGGAAGAACGGUAGAGAGCUAAUAUCUCUUGUCUAAU